GACGAACGCUGGCGGCGUGCCUAACACAUGCAAGUCGAACGAGGUCCAUCCUUCGGGAGAAGACCUAGUGGCGAACGGGUGAGUAACACGUGAAGAACCUGCCCCGAAGACCGGGAUAACCCUCCGAAAGGAGAGCUAAUACCGGAUACCCCCACCGAACCGCAUGGUUUGGUGAGGAAAUGGAUUCCGCUUCGGGAGGGCUUCGCGGCCUAUCAGCUAGUUGGUGGGGUAACGGCCCACCAAGGCAUCGACGGGUAGCUGGUCUGAGAGGACGAUCAGCCACACUGGGACUGAGACACGGCCCAGACUCCUACGGGAGGCAGCAGUGGGGAAUCUUGCGCAAUGGGCGAAAGCCUGACGCAGCAACGCCGCGUGGGGAGUGUAGGCUCUCGGGUUGUAACCCCUUUCAGCAGGGACGAAUCAAGACGGUACCUGCAGAAGAAGCCCCGGCUAACUACGUGCCAGCAGCCGCGGUAAU
rnacentral:rRNA from 1 species